AGAUUUGUUAGAUUCCAUACGGAAAUGCAAAACGAGGAAUGCGGGAGGGAGGGGUCUUGGAUAUAAUGUUCUUUCUUUGAAGUCUGUCCUGGUCCCGGCGAUUCUUCCCAGUCCUCGCUUCCUCGUUCUUUUUCUUUCCAUGGCGAUCUCCACGGCUCUCUGGAAGGCACGGUUCUCCGUCCCUUUCCCGAAACCCUGACCAUAAAGCCCUCAUUUUUACCCUUCGAAUCCUCGUCCGUGGGCCUUCCAUCGUGACCCAGACCCGAACAACGGAGCGUCCGAGAGACGACGACCGGGCGGUCGUCGAUUGCCGACCACCCACCAUGCCGUCGAUCUUGGUGCGGACUGCAAGGAAGGGAAUGUCAGAGAUUCUGUCAAGCUCAUGAACCUAAGCACUCUCCGAUUCCCGGGCCUUCUUCUCUUUGAGUGCUUGAGGAAAUCCAAGUGCUUUGGACGCCUGCUCGAUGGUUGAUCAAAUGGCUGAAUGAAGGACGGGAUCUUGGUUUGAUUCCAACGGUCCCGGAGGUGUUUGAGCUGAUGAGAGAGUUUUAGUUGUGAUCCGGUGCCCUGAGAGAGCUGGAGCUGUCAGAGAUUGGAAUCCAUGCUUAAAGACUGGAUAAUCAGAUCAGGCGUGAAGGGUGAUAUUUGGAAGGUUGAAGCUUUUGGAAAAUUUUGGGCAUCUCGAUAGAUUGGUGGAGUUCAUCAAGGAGACGCCAUUUGAGCCAGUAGCAGCAAUCUAGGAGUCAGUGGUUGACGCAAUGCAAUUAAGAUCAAAUCUAUGAUCAGCUGGAGGGAUCUCACCAGGAGGAACAACCAUUCUUCCCAGGAUCCUUCCAAGGAAGGGUCCUGUCGAUAUAACUGGUGAAGAUGUGGCAUCUGCUAUGGAUAACAGUGACAGAGCCACCUCAUCGAGUCAAACUCUAAAGUUCUUCCUAAUGUGAGGGAAGGUGCAAACCAAUGGACCCAAAUCAUCAAGGCUAUUUUGAGUUGGAGGGCGUUAGGGCCACCAGAAAAAUAUAUUAAAGGGAAACAGGGCAAAGGUUACAGACUCGGGUAAGUACAAACUCUCAACAGAGUGGAAGAGAAAACUACUGGGAGACAAAGAGGGUACAACAACAAUAAGAACAGAGCAGGAGAGUGAGACAGUGGGAAUUAGGUGUCGGGCAAGAAGAAGGCUACUCACUUUAUCUUUGACCAGAUUGCACCUAAGUCUUUGAGUUGGUUGGAGUUGCAGAGGACUGACCAAUCUUUGAAGAGAGACAAAACAUUGCCUGUAACCACCUGCAUCGAGGAAGCUCUCUGUAAGAAGAGCCUGGAGUUACGUUCCCUGUAGCAUCUCCAGACGAAGGCAGUGAAGAACAUUAGUAUUAUAGGUUGGGCAGACUUAGGAAACUUUGUUGCAUCCAAUCCAUGCACGUGUACCUGAAGGUCGACUGAGGGGGGAGGAUGCCCAAAGCCACACAAUGGAUUUCCAAAUCAUGGAGAAGAGGAGGCAGUAGGAGAAGAGAUGAUCCACCAUUUCUGGUGAUGAGCCACAUAUAGCACAAUCACCAAAGGAUUUGCCAAGCUUCUUUCCUAUAACAUCCCUGGUAUUCAAUUUAUGCUUCCAAUAUAGCUGCAGAAAACAUCGAAUUUUCAGAGGAAUGGAUAGACUCCGCAAGGUGGAAGCAAACCUACAAACAGUCCUAGAGGAGUUGAGGAAUUGAUAGAAGGUGGUGGAGAACUCGCCAUUGCAAGUAGCCUUCCAAACAAACCGGUUCUCAUUGCUGCAAAGCGUGAUAGAGUUCAAAAGACUGGAGAUGCAAUCAAGUUGGGUGCGUACGUCAGAGAAAGGAUUUGGAGGCAGUUUGAGAUGCCAAGUUCUUGAUCUAUGGUUUAAGUAACUUGGUAUUAUGCCAUUCUUGUUCCUGCAGAGCUUAAUACAUCAGGGAAUAGAGUUUGGAGCAGGGCAUCAGCGAUCUAAUUGUCCUUCCAGAAGAGGGUGCGAAGACUGUUGCGACAGUUGAAAUGAGUGUGAUUCCAAAAAGCAGGUAAGCUUUGGAUUACGUCUUGCCAUAAGGAGGAGCACCUCCUAGGUAGUCUCCAGAUAUUAGCAAACCUGACUUUCUUGUGGCAUGCCCACUGGACUUGCUUCUUCCACAGACCAGAGUCAUUUGAGAGCAGUCUCCACCCCCACUUGGCAAGAAGAGAGGUGUUGAGUUGGUGAAUGUCCUUGACCUCGAGGCUACUCUCCUCUUUCUUCAAGCAAACGGUGCUCCAACUCAAGUCAAAACAUAUAUGGAUUUUGAUGCCUUAUAGUUUAUAGAUGAAUUUUGAAAGCUAGUAUUAUAGAUGUAAAGUGGUGCACUGAAGAAUGGAAAAGGUAAACACCAUGCUUAAAAGUUGUAUAAUGCUAUAGUCUCUUUUUUUUUUUGAGAGAGAGAGAUAGAGAGAGAGAGAGAGAGAAUAUACUUUAAUAAUUCUUGUUCCUGUAUAAUUAUAUGCCCAUUUGAGUGAACCUUUAUGAUUUUUUUUUUUGUUGACUAACUGUACAUGUAAUGACAACCAAUAUAAUGAUUAUAAUUUAAUUUCUAAUGAUGGAAUUAGUAAAAUCUUCAGAUUGACCU